rnacentral:rRNA from 1 species
AUCGAACGCUGGCGGCAGGCUUAACACAUGCAAGUCGAGCGGAGAUGAGGUGCUUGCACCUUAUCUUAGCGGCGGACGGGUGAGUAAUGCUUAGGAAUCUGCCUAUUAGUGGGGGACAACAUUCCGAAAGGAAUGCUAAUACCGCAUACGUCCUACGGGAGAAAGCAGGGGAUCUUCGGACCUUGCGCUAAUAGAUGAGCCUAAGUCGGAUUAGCUAGUUGGUGGGGUAAGGGCCUACCAAGGCGACGAUCUGUAGCGGGUCUGAGAGGAUGAUCCGCCACACUGGGACUGAGACACGGCCCAGACUCCUACGGGAGGCAGCAGUGGGGAAUAUUGGACAAUGGGGGAAACCCUGAUCCAGCCAUGCCGCGUGUGUGAAGAAGGCCUUAUGGUUGUAAAGCACUUUAAGCGAGGAGGAGGCUACUGAGACUAAUACUCUUGGAUAGUGGACGUUACUCGCAGAAUAAGCACCGGCUAACUCUGUGCCAGCCGCCGCGGUAA